rnacentral:rRNA from 1 species
UACGUAGGGACCUAGCGUUGUCCGGAAUCAUUGGGCGUAAAGAGCUCGUAGGCGGCUUGUCACGUCGGGUGUGAAAGCCCGGGGCUUAACCCCGGGUCUGCAUUCGAUACGGGCUAGCUAGAGUGUGGUAGGGGAGAUCGGAAUUCCUGGUGUAGCGGUGAAAUGCGCAGAUAUCAGGAGGAACACCGGUGGCGAAGGCGGAUCUCUGGGCCAUUACUGACGCUGAGGAGCGAAAGCGUGGGGAGCGAACAGG